UGGCUCUCGCAUCGAUGAAGAACGCAGCGAAAUGCGAUAAGUAAUGUGAAUUGCAGAAUUCAGUGAAUCAUCGAAUCUUUGAACGCACCUUGCGCUCCUUGGUAUUCCGAGGAGCAUGCCUGUUUGAGUGUCAUUAAAUUCUCAAAACCCUAGUGUCUUUGUUGAUACUAGUGGUCUUGGAUGUGAGGGUUUUCUGCUGGCUUGUACUAGUUGGCUCCCUUGAAACGUAUUAGCAGUGGUUUUUCUGCUGUCUAUCAGUGUGAUAAUCUAUCUACGCUGUUGUCAGUGAAAGCAGCUCUGCUUCUAAUCGUCUUCGGACAAAAAACAUAAUGACAAUUUUGACCUCAAAUCAGGUAGGACUACCCGCUGA
rnacentral:misc_RNA from 1 species